ACCGAGCUAAUACCGGAUAAUAUAUUGAACCGCAUGGUUCAAUAGUGAAAGACGGUUUUGCUGUCACUUAUAGAUGGAUCCGCGCCGCAUUAGCUAGUUGGUAAGGUAACGGCUUACCAAGGCAACGAUGCGUAGCCGACCUGAGAGGGUGAUCGGCCACACUGGAACUGAGACACGGUCCAG
rnacentral:rRNA from 1 species